UACGGGGGGGGCAAGCGUUGUUCGGAAUUACUGGGCGUAAAGGGCUCGUAGGUGGCCAACUAAGUCAUACGUGAAAUCCCUCAGCUUAACUGGGGAACUGCGCCUGAUACUGGAUGGCUUGAGUUUGGGAGAGGGAUGCGGAAUUCCAGGUGUAGCGGUGAAAUGCGUAGAUAUUUGGAGGAACACCGGUGGCGAAGGCGGCAUCCUGGACCAACACUGACACUGAGGAGCGAAAGCCAGGGGAGCAAACGGG
rnacentral:rRNA from 1 species